AUACAGAGGUGGCAAGCGUUGCUCGGAAUUACUGGGCAUAAAGGGCGUCUAGGCGGGGCAGUAAGUUGGUUGUGAAAUCCCUCGGCUCACCCGAGGAAGUGCACUCAAUACUGCUGUCCUUGAGGACGAGAGGGGAGAGUGGAACUCCUGGUGGAGCGGUGAAAUGCGUAGAUAUCAGGAGGAACGCCGGUGGCGAAAGCGACUCUCUGGCUCGUUCCUGACGCUGAAGCGCGAAAGCUAGGGGAGCGAACGGGAUUAGAAACCCCCAGUAGUCC
rnacentral:rRNA from 1 species